rnacentral:lncRNA from 1 species
AACAGAUAAAAAAAAAAAAAAAAAACCCUUUGAAAUAUGUUCAGACAACCCUAUUAUUCACCAAUCAAGGCCUAAGUAAGGUUGGUGUAAGACAACAUCAGAGCCAAUCUGCCUGGCUAUAACCUGAUCCUUGGGUGUAUCUAGCAAUAUAUUUUAAAAUUACCUUGAUUUAUAACUUUCUUUUUGUUACUACUAUAAAAUUUAAUGAAACUCCUUCAACACUGGAACAGGGGAUAAGAUAACUUUAUGUUACCAAGCCACAGCCACUCACAUUUGUCUCUAGAGUAAGAUAUCAUCUUUUCUUACCUUUAAGGUAAGAGUGGUUUGUUUGUAUUGGAGCUAGGCUUUAUAUGGUAUUCCUCUAUAACCUCAGUUUCUCAGUCACCAGUCUGCUAAUAUUGAGAAAGAGAGAGAGAGAAAGAGAGAGAGAGAGAGACUAAGUCACCCUAAAGAGAGAAUUUAAGAUCCCCCACUGGUUCAUCAUCAUGAUAAAUCCCAAACUUAAACUAUCAACCUCUGCAAUGCAGGUAGAUGGAGACUGGUUCUGGCCUAUGUUCUUCCCUGUAGCACCCACACUUAAAAAGUCCCAGACCACAGAGAGCAGCACUCAGCAAUCCUCAGCCCUGAGAAGAGCUCUACUCUUCAAGAGGAAAAGGUUGUAUUGGUUACUUUUUGGUUGCUGUGAUAAAACACCAUGACCAGAGACAACUUUGGACGAAAUGUGUUAUUUU